UCCCGUUUAACACGGGCAGUCUCUCUAGAGUGCUCAACUGAAUGGUAGCAACUAGAGACAGGGGUUGCGCUCGUUGCGGCACUUAAGCCAACAUCUCACGACACGAGCUGACGACAACCAUGCAGCACCUGUGCUGGCUCUCCUCUUGCGAGGAGUCGUCCCCGUUUCUGGGUUCUACCACCAGCAUGUCAAGGCCAGGUAAGGUUCUUCGCGUUGCAUCGAAUUAAGCCACAUGCUCCACCGCUUGUGCGGGCCCCCGUCAAUUUCUUUGAGUUUUAGCCUUGCGGCCGUACUUCCCAGGCGGUUCACUUAUCGCGUUAGCUGCGGCACGCAGGGGGUCGACUCCCCGCACACCAAGUGAACACCGUUUAGGGCUAGGACUAC
rnacentral:misc_RNA from 1 species